AGAAAGAUAAGCUAAGGUAAGCUCGUAGGUUCAUACCCUAUUUAUGGGGGCAAUCCCCUCUUUCUA
rnacentral:tRNA from 1 species